rnacentral:rRNA from 1 species
UCAUGUGGAAAGCACGAGCCGGGAAUGGAAAGACCGGUACAAGCGGGGUAGGUGUACAACAGGCAAAUCCGUUGUAUAAUCCGAAGACGUGAUGUGGAGCGAAAUAAAGUAGUGAAGCGUGAGAGCCAUGUGCCGAGAAAAGCUGCUAUUGUGUAAUGCGUGCCCGUACCGUAAACCGACACAGGUGGAUGAGGAGAGAAUCCUAAGGCCGACGGAAGAAGCAUUGUUAAGGAAUUCGGCAAAAUGACCCCGUAACUUCGGGAGAAGGGGUGCCUGCGAGAGCAGGCCGCAGAGAAUAGGCUCAAGCAACUGUUUAGCAAAAACACAGGUCUAUGCGAAACCGAAAGGUGAAGUAUAUGGGCUGACGCCUGCCCGGUGCUGGAAGGUUAAGAGGAGAGGUUAGCGUUAGCGAAGCUUUGAAUUUAAGCCCCAGUAAACGGCGGCCGUAACAAUAACGGUCCUAAGGUAGCGAAAUUCCUUGUCGGGUAAGUUCCGACCCGCACGAAAGGCGUAAUGAUUUGAGCACUGUCUCGACAAUGCAUCCGGUGAAAUUGAAGUACCAGUGAAGAUGCUGGUUACCCGCGCCAGGACGGAAAGACCCCAUGGAGCCUUACUCCAGUUUGAUACUGGGAUUCGGUACUGCAUGUACAGGAUAGGUGGGAGACAAAGAAGGAUGGACGCCAGUCUGUCCGGAGUCGCUGUUGGGAUACCACCCCUGUAGUACUGGGUUUCUAACCAGUUGCCAUGAACUGGCAAUGGGACAAUGUCAGGCGGGGAGUUUGACUGGGGCGGUCGCCUCCGAAAGGGUAUCGGAGGCGCUCAAAGGUUCCCUCAGAAUGGUUGGAAACCAUUUGAAGAGUGCAAAGGCAGAAGGGAGCUUGACUGCGACACCGACGGGUGGAGCAGGUACGAAAGUAGGACUUAGUGAUCCGGUGGUAUAAAGUGGGAUUGCCAUCGCUCAACGGAUAAAAGCUACCCUGGGAUAACAGGCUUAUCACUCCCAAGAGUUCACAUCGACGGAGUGGUUUGGCACCUCGAUGUCGGCUCAUCGCAUCCUGGGGCUGUAGCAGGUCCCAAGGGUUGGGCUGUUCGCCCAUUAAAGCGGUACGCGAGCUGGGUUCAGAACGUCGUGAGACAGUUCGGUCCCUAUCCAGCGCGGGCGGAGGAUAUUUGAGAGGAGCUGUCCUUAGUACGAGAGGACCGGGAUGGACGGACCACUGGUGUAUCUGUUGUCGACCAACGGCAUGGCAGAGUAGCCAAGUCUGGAAGGGAUAAACGCUGAAGGCAUCUAAGCGUGAAGCCCCCCUCAAGAUGAGAUAUCCCUCCUUCGGGAGUAAGACCCCUUGAAGACUACAAGGUAGAUAGGGCAGAGGUGGAAGCAUGGCAACAUGUGGAGCUGACUGUUACUAAUAGGUCGAGGGCUUAAUCA